rnacentral:lncRNA from 1 species
UAGACAUUUAACGACAUCAAACAGUUACAGGUUGCGAUUUAAAGAAAAUACAUGAUGAAUCAUUGCAUACAGCUAUAAUUAUGUACACUAUGUUUUCUAACAAAUGAAAAGACAACUACUCUUACUGUUCAUAAUUAUAUUUCAUAUAUGUCGAUAAGAAAGCAACCAUGGUCGUGGAUACCUUUAUAUGCUUCCAGUGAUCCUGUGAGCAUCUGCUAAUACUCCUUGACAUAAAUCUCACUUGUCAUCACCGUCAUUUUUGUCUUGCUGGAACCACAUCCUCUAUCCGCAAACUGAAAUAAUAACAACAACAAAUCCAUCUUGAAGGUGUCACCCUAAACCUCCCCCCUGCUGAUCUGCACAGGCAUGACAUGCCAAUAACCAAGCAAACUCAACAAUCCACACCAUGCAUAUAAUAUCUCAAGUGAACUUCUUCAGGAAAUUCAUAGCACACUUCAACCCACUUGAUUUAUACACAUGAACUUAACGGGAUAUGAGAAUUUACACGCAACAAUUCAUGGUUAAUGUGGAACUGAAGCGACAAAUUGAGACAAUCAAAAUCUUACCUUAAUGAACAGCCGAGCAAGGAGGAGACCUCAGGGGAAACCACUUGUGUGCUCUGAACAAUAAGAAUGACCAUCAUCAUUAAAGAUCAGUAUAUCACAUUCAGCAUACCCUC